rnacentral:tRNA from 1 species
GGAGGCAUGGCUCAAAUGGUAGAGUACCAGCCUAACAAGCCUGAGACCCUGAGUUCAAACCUCAAUACUAUCA